ACAAAGUCCACUAAGAAUUUUUUCCUCCGCCGUAAGAAAUUGUGUCGUUGAGUGCGAAUACCUGAGUGUUACAUGCCUAGCCGGAAGUUAACUGCAAAGAAUAGUGUAGGAAGGAAGUUGCGUGCCUGCUGAGCGCAACGAGCCGGCACGAGACUCUUUCAAUUCAGUACAAAAGCUACAAGAACUCACGAAACAACAAAACCCUCGUGAUCAACGUGAAAAUCGCAAUUAUUCCCCUAAAAACCUGUGAAAACAAAUGUUCCAGGUAUAGAGUCCUUGGGGCCUCAGGUGGAAAAGAAAAAAAAACAAGGACACGAGAUUCAAAAGAGAUGCAGGCCGGAGAGAAACGGCUUCCAGUGCUCUGCUUCGUUUCGAGUUAGAAGAAAAAAUAAAUAAAAUGGUUGACGAGUGGGGGAGGGAGUUAACCUGUACAAUAUCUCUCUUCUUUUAUCUUAUUUGCUCUUCGUCGGUUACGUGGUGGGUCUUCUCAAGGUUGUGUCAGGUGAACACGAGUGGAUUUUUCGUCUCCAUUCAGGAAAAUAAAAUAUUCCAUUGAAAAUUCA